AGAAUGCAGCCCUCGCUGUCGCAGAUCUGCUUCUGGUAUUGGCCCUCCACGCUGAGAUGGGGCGUCAGAGGCGCUCGGUUCCCCCAGGUCUCUGCCCCCACCAGCCUUAUAUGUGCAACUUCUCCCUGAAGGAAGAGGGAAACCUCCUCAGACUUGCUUGUCUCCUUGUCCCUAGGCCCUUCCAAACCAAUGCACCUGUGGGUUUUCCUUCACGUGCCUCUGGCAAGCCCCAUCCCUUCUGUCCCGUCCUUGGGCAGAGAGGUCAUUACCUCCAAGUGGAAGCCCCUACGUUUUCACCCAAUUUUAACCUUUUCACCCAUUUUUAACCUUGCUCCGUAAGGACAGUAACUGUACCUGAAGGUGUCUGGGCCCUGCAAUAGCCUCAUCUGAGUGACCAAGGGGCUUGGGAGUCCCUCUCUUCCAUUCCUUGAAGCCCAGAGUGAACUGACAGCCUCGUGAUCCUGGACUUGGGGCCGUAUUGAGAGAGUACUUUGAGGUCCCUUCCCUUCCAGCAUCUCUCAAGGGGGACUCUGCAGGGCAGAAGUGGGAUCAGGUCAGAUCAAGAUCAGUUGACUGGCAGAACUUAGCAACUCCCUCCCUGAAAGCAAUUCUCCUGGAUCCAAAAAGCUGUACUUCGCACACGUUCUGGAAAGUCACUGGGGGCAGAAGACAAGGUCAUCUGUAGAUGGGGCUUCCUUUCCUCCAGCUAAAAUAACAUUUACAGGACUGUAUUGGGACCACCUUGAGGCCAGUGAAGACACCGUCUUACCCAAAAGAACACAAAUCUAACUCCUGAAAGUACUGAGGAAUGUAAGAGGGAAUGUAAAAAUGAUACACCUGCUGUGAAAACCAGUUCCUGUGUCUUAUAAAGUUAAACAUACUCUCAACAAUUCCACUCCUAGGUAUUUACCCAAGAGAAAGGAAAAAGUAUGUGUGAAAAAGGAUAUGUACUCCAAUUUCAUAGCAGCUUUAUUUAUAAUGGACCCAAACUGGAAACAAUUCUAAUGAUCAUCAACAGGUGAAUAGAUAAACAAAUUCAUGCAAUGGAAUAAUAAUCAGCAAUAGAAAUAGAAGGAACUCUUGCUACUUGCAACAUGGAUGAAUUUCCAAAACACGCUGAAUGAAAAGAAGCCAGCCACAAAAGCAUGUGUACUAUGAUUGCACAUGAAGUUCUAGAAUAGACAGGGUCUCACUCUGUCAUCCAGGCUAGAGUGCAGUGGC